UCCCAUGUGGCUCAGUUGGUUGAGCAUGGCGCUUGCAACGCUACGGUUGUGGGUUUGAUUCCCAUGGGGGAC
rnacentral:tRNA from 1 species